GUGCUGUGUGUGCGCUGGGCUGGGCUGGUGGUGUUUUCAGGAAAUACUGUACAGAGCUUUCCACUGAGAGAGAGCGCGGGGGGAGCUGAGAGAGACUGAGACGGGCUGAGAGACGAGGACAGGAGCUCUGCUCUGUCUGUCUUGUCUGCAUCUCUCGCUCUCUCUGCAAUCGCCUGGGAGUGGACUAACAGCUGCCUUUUGCAAACGCAUCGUCUCUUUUAUUUAUUUCCCCAUUUAAUCGGCGUUACAGUCUGUGCUGUAAGAUUUUAUGGUUCUAUAUAAUCCCCGCGGACCUAUUUUCCCAGUUCCUCACAGUGUGUGUGUGUGUGUGUGCAUAGCCUUGUAUUUUAUCUUAUUCCUGUCCCCCUGUCUGUAAGCAGGGAUGCUUUUCCCCCUCCCCACCCCUUCUUUCUCGCCCUGUUUAAUGCUCCUCUGAAAUACUCCUCUCUCCCACACCCUCCCCCAGUUUGUUGUUGUUAUUCCCCCCAAAACAUGGAUUUAAUCCUGCAGAAACUGUCCAGAGACGCCACUGGUAACAGGUACAAACCCAUCAGAGACGCCUGCAACUCAGCAUAUGCGUUGCUGGAAACAGAAAAUGAAGCUGAGAGAUUGCCACCUCACCGACUCAGAGAGCAAUGUCUCGCUCCUCUCAAACUGGCUCUGGAAUCCAAGAACGUGAAGUUGGCUCAACACGCACUGACUGGC